CCAGUAGCCAACCUCCCUGGACGUGGCCGCAAGAGGAAAAUUGAUGACAAAUUGAAGAGACGGAUCGUUGGAAUUGUAUCCAAAGAGCCCAGAGCAACCUCCAAAGAAAUUAAAGGUGAACUCCAAGGCCAAGGUACAUCAGUGUCAGAUCGCACCAUUCGUCGUUGUUUGAGCCAAAGUGGACUUCAUGGGAGACGACCAAGGAGGACACCACUGCUGAAAAAAACUCAUAAAAAAGCCAGACUGGAAUUUGCAAAAAUGCAUGUUGACAAGCCACAAAGCUUCUGGGAGAAUGUCCUUUGGACAGAUGAGACCAAACUGAAGCUUUUUGGUAAGGCACAUCAACUCUAUGUUCAUAGACUCAAAAACCAAGCAUACGAAGAAAAGAACACUGUCCCUACGGUGAAACAUGGAGGAGGCUCAGUAAUGUUUUGGGGCUGCUUUGCUGCAUCUGGCACAGGGUGUCUUGAAAGUGUGCAAGGUACGAUGAAAUCUGAAGACUAUCAAGGCAUUCUGGAGAGAAAUGUGCUGCCGAGUGUCAGAAAGCUUGGUCUCAGUCGCAGGUCAUGGGCCUUCCAACAGGACAACGAUCCAAAACACACAGCCAAAAACACCCAAGAAUGGCUGAGAGAAAAGCGUUGGACUAUUCUAAAGUGGCCUUCUAUGAGCCCAGAUCUGAAUCCCAUUGAACAUAUGUGGAAGGAGCUGAAACAUGCCAUUUGGAGAAGACACCCAUCAAACCUGAGACAACUGGAGCUGUUUGCUCAUGAGGAGUGGGCCAAAAUACCUGUUGACAGCUGCAGAACGCUCAUUGACAAAUACAGAAAUCGUUUAAUUGCAGUGAUUGCCUCAAAAGGUUGUGCAACAAAAUAUUAAGUUAUGGGUACCGU